UUUGCCGUGCUAAGCGGGGGAGGUAGCGGUGCCCUGUACUCGCAAUCCGCUCUAGCGAGGCUGAAUUCCUUUCUGAGGCUGGUAUCCUGUAGGGUCUGCCUUAAGUAAGUGGUGUUGACGUCCGGGUCCUGCGCAAUGGGAAUCCAUGAACCAUGUCAGGUCCGGAAGGAAGCAGCAUUAAGUGGACACCCCCAUGUGCCGCAGGGUUACCUGGACUGAGCUAACUACUUAAGUAACGCUUAUGGGUGCCAGUCGACAGAAGGUGCACGGUA
rnacentral:SRP_RNA from 1 species